rnacentral:rRNA from 1 species
GGCUUAUUAAUAAUUUUAAGUCAAUUCUGCCCAAUGAUUAAUGGCUGCAGUAUAUUAACUGUACAAAGGUAGCAUAAUCAAUUGUUUUUUAAUUAAAAACUGGAAUGAAAGAGUUAAUGAGAUAUAUACUGUCUCAUAUAUAUUUAAUUAAUUUAAAUUUUUAGUAAAAAUGCUGAAAUUUAUUUAUGGGACGAUAAGACCCUAUAGAAUUUUAUAUUUGGGAGGAUAGAUAAAUUUAUUUAACUUUAUUAUAUAAACUUUAAUUAAAGAAUGAUCUUUUAAUAAAAAUUAAAAGAAUAAAUUACCUUAGGGAUAACAGCGUAAUAUCUUUUUAAAGAUCAUAUUGAAAAAGAUGAUUGCGACCUCGAUGUUGAAUUAAGAUAAAUUUUAAAUGGAGAAAUUUAAUAAUUAAGUCUGUUCGACUUUUAAAAUCUUACAUGAUUUGAGUUCAAAUCGACGUAAGU